rnacentral:rRNA from 1 species
AUUGAACGCUGGCGGCAGGCCUAACACAUGCAAGUCGAGCGGAUGAAGGGAGCUUGCUCCUGGAUUCAGCGACGGACGGGUGAGUAAUGCCUAGGAAUCUGCAUGGUAGUGGGGGAUAACGUCCGGAAGCGGGCGCUAAUACCGCAUACGUCCUGAGGGAGAAAGUGGGGGAUCUUCGGACCUCACGCUAUCAGAUGAGCCUAGGUCGGAUUAGCUAGUUGGUGGGGUAAAGGCCUACCAAGGCGACGAUCCGUAACUGGUCUGAGAGGAUGAUCAGUCACACUGGAACUGAGACACGGUCCAGACUCCUACGGGAGGCAGCAGUGGGGAAUAUUGGACAAUGGGCGAAAGCCUGAUCCAGCCAUGCCGCGUGUGUGAAGAAGGUCUUCGGAUUGUAAAGCACUUUAAGUUGGGAGGAAGGGCAGUAAGUUAAUACCUUGCUGUUUUGACGUUACCAACAGAAUAAGCACCGGCUAACUUCGUG